UAACACUGUUAGGUUGAUGCAAAAGUAAUCAUGGUUUUUGCCAUUACUAUUUCAAAGGCAAAAACCGUGAUUACUUUUGCACCAAC
ensembl:miRNA